rnacentral:piRNA from 1 species
UGCAAUAAGGCAGAGGGUCUAAUUGAGU